GGGAACUCCAUGUUAACUCACCGUGCAAGGAGGAGAAGAGCAGCCCGGACCUCGUCGCCUCCCGCAAUCGCCUAUGUGCUACCGGCGCCCGUUUGUCGCGGGGGCUGCGCUCACCACCACCCUAGGCCAUGGCUGCGGCUUCAAUGACGGAGGCGACAACAUUCACAGCCGCAUGCCCGUGCGACCUCUUCUCAUCACUCACAGGCUCUGCAUAGUGCUCUAGGCCCACAUCGCGCUGGCCGGAACUCGCCAGUGGACGAGCAAGUCGGCGCCGGGAACAGCGAACCAGGCGAGCCAUCACGCGGUG
rnacentral:lncRNA from 1 species